CAGCAGCCGCGGGAAUACGUAGGUGGCAAGCGUUGUCCGGAAUUAUUGGGCGUAAAGGGCUCGCAGGCGGUUUCUUAAGUCUGAUGUGAAAGCCCCCGGCCCAACCGGGGAGGGUCAUUGGAAACUGGGAGACUUGAGUGCAGAAGAGGAGAGUGGAAUUCCACGUGUAGCGGUGAAAUGCGUAGAGAUGUGGAGGAACACCAGUGGCGAAGGCGACUCUCUGGUCUGUAACUGACGCUGAGGAGCGAAAGCGUGGGGAGCGAACAGGAUUAGAUACCCGCGUAGUCCCUGUCUCUUAUAC
rnacentral:rRNA from 1 species